UACGGGGGGGGCAAGCGUUGUUCGGAAUUACUGGGCGUAAAGGGCUCGUAGGCGGCCAACUAAGUCAGACGUGAAAUCCCUCGGCUUAACCGGGGAACUGCAUCUGAUACUGGAUGGCUUGAGAUUGGGAGAGGGAUGCGGAAUUCCAGGUGUAGCGGUGAAAUUCGUAGAUAUCGGGAGGAACACCAGUGGCGAAGGCGGCGAUCUGGGCAGAUACUGACGCUGAGGUGCGAAAGCGUGGGGAGCAAACAGG
rnacentral:rRNA from 1 species